AUUGCCCUAGUAACGGCGAGUGAAGCGGCAACAGCUCAAAUUUGAAAUCUGGCUCUCGGGCCCGAGUUGUAAUUUGUAGAGGAUACUUUUGAUGCGGUGCCUUCCGAGUUCCCUGGAACGGGACGCCAUAGAGGGUGAGAGCCCCGUCUGGUUGGAUGCCAAAUCUCUGUAAAGUUCCUUCGACGAGUCGAGUAGUUUGGGAAUGCUGCUCUAAAUGGGAGGUAUAUGUCUUCUAAAGCUAAAUACCGGCCAGAGACCGAUAGCGCACAAGUAGAGUGAUCGAAAGAUGAAAAGCACUUUGAAAAGAGAGUUAAAAAGUACGUGAAAUUGUUGAAAGGGAAGCGUUUAUGACCAGACUUGGGCUUGGUUAAUCAUCUGGGGUUCUCCCCAGUGCACUUUUCCAGUCCAGGCCAGCAUCAGUUUUCGCCGGGGGAUAAAGACUUCGGGAAUGUGGCUCUCUUCGGGGAGUGUUAUAGCCCGUUGUGUAAUACCCUGGCGGGGACUGAGGUUCGCGCAUCUGCAAGGAUGCUGGCGUAAUGGUCAUCAACGACCCGUCUUGAAACACGGACCAAGGAGUCGUCUUCGUAUGCGAGUGUUCGGGUGUCAAACCCCUACGCGUAAUGAAAGUGAACGCAGGUGAGAGCUUCGGCGCAUCAUCGACCGAUCCUGAUGUUCUCGGAUGGAUUUGAGUAAGAGCAUACGGGGCCGGACCCGAAAGAAGGUGAACUAUGCCUGUAUAGGGUGAAGCCAGAGGAAACUCUGGUGGAGGCUCGCAGCGGUUCUGACGUGCAAAUCGAUCGUCAAAUAUGGGCAUGGGGCGAAAGACUAAU
rnacentral:rRNA from 1 species